UCUCCGUUAUCCGGAGCAGUCCUCUUAGAGUUCCCCCUUGCGGGUGGCAACUAAGAAUAAGGGUUGCGCUCGUUACGGGACUUAACCCAACAUCUCACGACACGAGCUGACGACAGCCAUGCACCACCUGUGAUCCUGCCCACAAGGGGAAACCGUGUUUCCACGGCGGUCAGGAACAUGUCAAACCCAGGUAAGGUUCUUCGCGUUGCGUCGAAUUAAACCACAUGCUCCGCUGCUUGUGCGGACCCCCGCCAAUUCCUUUGAGUUUCAAUCUUGCGGUCGUACUUCCCAGGUGGGAUACUUAAUGCUUUCGCUCAGACACACACUGUGUAUCGCGUAUGUCGAGUAUCCAUAGUUUAGGGCGUGGACUAC
rnacentral:misc_RNA from 1 species